rnacentral:rRNA from 1 species
ACAGUCAUCGUAUGUCUCAAGAUUAGCCAUGCAGGUCUAAGUUCAUGCCGCAUUAAGGUGAGACCGCGAAUGGCUCAUUAUAUCAGUUAUGGUUCCUUAGAUCUUCGGUUACACUUGGACAACCCUGGUAAUUCUAGAGCUAAUACAUGCAUCCAUGCACCGACCUUCGGGAAGGUGUGUUUUUAUUAGCCCAAAACCAAUCGUUGCCUUCGGGUGACGUCCCCGUGGUGAUUCAGAGUAACUUUGUUCGGAUCGCAUGGCCUUCGUGCCGGCGACACAUCUUUCAAAUGUCUGCCUUAUCAACUUGUUGGUUGGUUAAAUGCCAACCAAGGUGGUAACGGGUGACGGGGAAUCAGGGUUCGAUACCGGAGAGGGAGCCUGAGAAACGGCUACCACAUCCAAGGAAGGCAGCAGGCACGCAAAUUACCCACUCCCGGCUCGGGGAGGUAGUGACGAAAAAUAACAAUACGAGACUCAUCCGAGGCUUCGUAAUUGGAAUGGGUACACUUCAAAUCCUUUAACGAGGAACAAUUGGAGGGCAAGUCUGGUGCCAGCAGCCGCGGUAAUUCCAGCUCCAAUAGCGUAUAUUAAAGUUGCUGCGGUUAAAAAGCUCGUAGUUGGAUCUCAGUCUCGGGCGGACGGUCCAUUUUGCGAUGGUACUGUCCGAAUCGGACAUUUGGCCGCCUUUCCCAGUAUGCUCUUUACUGAGUGUAUUGGGAGAGUGGCACGUUUACUUUGAAAAAAUUAGAGUGCUCAAAGCACGCUCUCGCCUGAAUCUUCGUGCAUGGAAUGAUGGAAUAUGGCCUUGGUUCUAUUUUGUUGGUUUCCGGAACUCGAGGUAAUGAUUAAGAGGGACGGACGGGGGCAUUCGUAUUGCGACGUUAGAGGUGAAAUUCUUAGAUCGUCGCAAGACGGACUACUGCGAAAGCAUUUGCCCAGAAUGUUUUCAUUAAUCAAGACGAAGUCAGAGGUUCGAAGGCGAUCAGAUACCGCCCUAGUUCUGACCAUAACGAUGCGACUGCGAUCCGUCGUGUAAUACCAUGACUCGACAGCAGCUUCCAGAACAAGUUUCCUGUUUCUG